AGAGUGAACGCUGGCGGUAGGCCUAACACAUGCAAGUCGAACGGCAGCACAGUGGUAGCAAUACCAUGGGUGGCGAGUGGCGGACGGGUGAGGAAUACAUCGGAAUCUACCUUUUCGUGGGGGAUAACGUAGGGAAACUUACGCUAAUACCGCAUACGCCCUUCGGGGGAAAGCCGGGGAUCGCAAGACCUGGCGCGGAUAGAUGAGCCGAUGUCGGAUUAGCUAGUUGGUGAGGUAAUGGCUCACCAAGGCGACGAUCCGUAGCUGGUCUGAGAGGAUGAUCAGCCACACUGGAACUGAGACACGGUCCAGACUCCUACGGGAGGCAGCAGUGGGGGAAAUAUUGGAACAAUGGGGCGCAAAGCCCUG
rnacentral:rRNA from 1 species